GCACAACCAGGGAGUAAAGAGAUUAUUGUCAGCACUCCAAAAGUAUCUAGUGCUGAGAUCAAAUCGGCUCUUCAUUAUCAAAAAUCUCGAACAAUGACUUGAAGCUGUUGGAUUAUCUACAGAAGAAGAAGAAGAAGGAGCUGGAAAUGUGAAAUCAGAAUCAGUUGAUGAAGCUUCCGAGUUCUCAGACCUGUCAGCAAGAUCAUCACGUACAACUGGCGCUGAAGUAACCAACGUUGAAGACAUAGAAGCAGAUCUCAAGAAGGACUUCAGUUGCGAGAAUUGGUCAGACAUAGAAAAUAAACAACCUGGAAACAAGACUUGGCAUCAGAAAAUGUACUGCAGUAUGGUUUUAUUUACUGUCUCUUUCUUUUUGUCAGCCUACACCCAUGAUUUUAUAUCAAUACAUCUUCCUCUAACGAGUA